CAGCCGCCGCGGUAAUACGUAGGUGGCAAGCGUUGUCCUGAAUCAUUGGGCGUAAAGCGCGCGCAGGCGGUCCUUUAAGUCUGAUGUGAAAUCUUGCGGCUCAACCGUAAGCGGUCAUUGGAAACUGGGGGACUUGAGUGCAGGAGAGGAAAGCGGAAUUCCAUGUGUAGCGGUGAAAUGCGUAGAGAUAUGGAGGAACACCAGUGGCGAAGGCGGCUUUCUGGCCUGUAACUGACGCUGAGGCGCGAAAGCGUGGGGAGCAAACAGGAUUAGAUACCCUGGUAGUCCACGCCGUAAACGAUGAGUGCUAAGUGUUGGAGGGUUUCCGCCCUUCAGUGCUGCAGCUAACGCAUUAAGAACUCCGCCUGGGGAGUAAGGUCGCAAGACUGAAACUUAAAGGAAUUGGCGGG
rnacentral:rRNA from 1 species